GGUAGCAUGGCUGAGCAGUCUAAGGUGCUGGAUUUAGGCUCCAGUCUCUCUGGAAGCAUGGGUUUGAAUCCCACUGCUGCCA
rnacentral:tRNA from 1 species